CCUCCAUGUGCUUCGGGUGCGGUCUUGAAAAAAGAAAGAAAAAAAAAAACAAAAAAAACCCCACAUCCGGAUGGUCAAACUAUGAAAAGGUGCUGCUCAACAUCAUUACUCAUCAGAAAAAUGCAAAUUAAAACCGCAAGGAGAAGCCCUAGAAUGGCUAAAAUAAACGACCGAAUAGCAGGUGUCCUUGAAGGUAUGGAGGCACUGAAACUCCACAUCUGGCCUGCUGUGAUGGGGCGUAGAAAUGGCACAGCCCCUUAGGAGACUUGUCUGGCAGAUCCUAGUAAGGCUCAAGCUGUGCCUUCUCCACAGCCCAGGGUUUCCACUCCCUGGUAUAUAUGCAUAUGCUCGAGAAAGAGGAGGGCUCCUGCUGGCAAAGGCGGAUGUACGAGAACAUUCAGCGCUGUCUCCGACUCCUGUCAGCAGAAGACUGGAGACGUAGAUGGUCUAUACACACGGCCCCCGAGACACCACAGAUCGCCUGGGUCCAUUCAAAUGAAGUUCAAGGAGAGGCAACACGAAAACACGAUGAGUCAAACCCCGGCCAUGUCUGGGCUGUAGCCGAGGCCAGGAAGAAAUCCGCCCCCUCCGAAGGUUGUUUUUGUGACCGUUCUUUGGAGCAUUGUUCUAAAAAUGGGAAAUUACAGCCUGCCGUGCCAAGGGAAACAAACACCUGCAGUUAAAGGAAUACCUUCCAUGAGGUGGUUUUUAGAGCCCCAGCCAGUUCUGGAUGCAGAGCUGCUGCACAGGGCCUUUUUGCUGCGUUUCUUCACUUCUAAGGGGAUGGGGCUUGGAAGCUGGGUGGGCUUUGGCGAGGAUGGGGCUCAGGCGGUGGUCCUUCACUUAGUCAUUCAAUAAACAUCUAUCGAGCAUC